UUCUCUUUCAUCUCCACAUCUUUCGAGUCCUUCCCUGCCCUCUCUUUCACUUCCACAUCUUUGGGCUCUUUCGUUGACUUGUCUUUCAUUUUUACAUCUUUUGAGUCCUUCCCUGCCUCCUCUUUCCCUUCCACAUCUUUGGACUCUUUCACUGCCUUCUCUUUUAUUUUUACAGUUUUGGAGUCCUUACCUUCCUUCUCUUUCAUUUCCACAUCUUUGGAAUCCUUUCCCACUUUCUCUUUCAUUUCCGCGUCUUUGGAAUCCUUCCCUGCCUUCUCUUUCAUUUCCACAUCUUUGGACCCCUUCCGUGCCUUCUCUUUUAUUUUCACAUCUUUGGAGUCUUUCCC
rnacentral:lncRNA from 1 species